rnacentral:rRNA from 1 species
AUUGAACGCUGGCGGCAUGCCUAACACAUGCAAGUCGAGCGGAGCGGCGGACGGGUGAGUAAUGCCUAGGAAUCUGCCCGGUAGUGGGGGAUAACUUCCGGAAACGGGCGCUAAUACCGCAUACUAUCAGAUGAGCCUAGGUCGGAUUAGCUAGUUGGUGGGGUAAAGGCCUACCAAGGCGACGAUCCGUAACUGGUCUGAGAGGAUGACCAGUCACACUGGGACUGAGACACGGUCCAGACUCCUACGGGAGGCAGCAGUGGGGAAUAUUGCACAAUGGGCGCAAGCCUGAUGCAGCCAUGCCGCGUGUGUGAAGAAGGCCUUAGGGUUGUAAAGUACUUUCAGCGGGGAGGCGUUACCCGCAGAAGAAGCACCGGCUAACUCCGUGCCAGCAGCCGCGGUAAUAC